rnacentral:rRNA from 1 species
UACAGAGGUCCCGAGCGUUGUUCGGAUUCACUGGGCGUAAAGGGUGCGUAGGUGGUGAGGAAAGUCGGAUGUGAAAUCUCCGGGCUUAACCCGGAAAUGGCAUUGGAAACUACCUUGCUAGAGGUUUUGAGGGGGGACUGGAAUUCUCGGUGUAGCAGUGAAAUGCGUAGAUAUCGAGAGGAACACCGGUGGCGAAGGCGAGUCCCUGGAAAACACCUGACACUGAGGCGCGAAAGCUAGGGGAGCAAACAGG